rnacentral:rRNA from 1 species
AUUGAACGCUGGCGGCAUGCCUAACACAUGCAAGUCGAACGGAGAUAGGGGCAACCUUAUUUCAGUGGCGGACGGGUGAGGAAUGCGUCGGAAUCUGCCCUAUGGUGGGGAUAACACGAGGGAAACUUGUGCUAAUACCGCAUAAUGUCGAGAGACCAAAGCAGGGGACCGCAAGGCCUUGCGCGAUAGGAUGAGCCGACGCCCGAUUAGCUUGUUGGUAGGGUAAUGGCCUACCAAGGCGACGAUCGGUAGCUGGUCUGAGAGGAUGAUCAGCCACACUGGGACUGAGACACGGCCCAGACUCCUACGGGAGGCAGC